UAAUAGUCCCUGUAAUGUAACUGUAAAAAACUCCCAGCUUUAUAUCAUAAAGGGGGACAUUAAUUGUCAUUUUUUGUGUACAUCAGCAAGAUCAAAACACGUUUCCUGAUUACUUCUGUUUGUACAUAGAGUCUCUUUGAUAUUUAGAUAUGAAUAAAGUGUGUGUGUGUAAUUUGAAAGUCAAUUCUUCCCUCCCUGCUGCUUGUCAUGGAUUCCUUUCAGAGGCUUAUUUACCAAAUUGAUUUUAAAAUUUACUAAUUGCCCUUUCAGAAUGAUUUUUCAAUAAUCAAAGUGUCUCUACUAAGCACAGUGGCAAAAUAUUUGUCCUCCUUGAUUCAGAAGAUGAGUUCGGCACCCAGGGGAAAACACAAGUCUCAUCUCCCAAAAUCCACCCUGGGGAGCUCUGGCUGGGAGAGCAGCUCAGCUCCUGCCCCACAUUUCCCUUCUGUGCUCAGGGUUAUCACCACAACUGGAAAAAUCCCACUGCACCCAAUCCAACAACUGGAAAAAUCCCGUUCCACCAGUUCACUGCUGGGUCCCAGUGGUGUUUUGGAGGCUGGAAUGGCUCUGGGACAGGGGACACCUUUCCCUCUCCAAAUUCCAGGUUGGUGGCAGGGGAAGGGAGCAGCCUGGGAAUGCUGCUGGAGCUGGGAUUGGGAAUGGAACUGGGAUUGGGAAUGGAACUGGAAUGCUGCUGGAGCUGGGAUUGGAGCCGGAAAUGUUGCUGGAAUUGAGAAUGGAGCUGGGAUUGGGAAUGGAGCUGGGAUUGGAAAUGGAGCUGGGAUUGGGAAUGGAGCUGGGAAUGUGCUGGGAGUGGGUAUGCUGCUGGAGCUGGGAAUAUUGUUGGGAUUGGAGCUGGAGCUGGGAUUGGGAAUGCUGCUGGAGCUGGGAAUGUGCUGGGAUUGGAGCUGGAGCUGGGAAUGUGCUGGGAGUGGAGCUGGAGCUGGGAUUGCUGCCCACGGGGCACUCUGAAGGCGCAGCCCCGCUCCCGUUUGUAAAUGUAAUCAACCUCGAGGUCUUGUUGCUUCCACAGGUGCAAUUAACAUCACCAUCUGCUAAUCCGUGAUUAACGAUGUUUACAAAUACGCUACAACACGGGAAAAUGUGCUGGCACUCUUUGGGGUUUUUUUUCCCCUCUAUUUCUUUUCCCUCCCUGCUGCAGCACAGGAGGGAUUGCCCCAUGGAAUGCUCCCCCUGCCCCACCAUUAAUUCACAGAUAUUUUACAUUUUCCUUAUUUAAAAGUGCCGUUAAAACUCCAAACCAGCUGCAGGAAUGACGAGUUCAAAUCAGGAGGUCAGUGCUGCUAAAUGGGAUUUAAUUGCACGGGGGUUGAGGUGCAAACUGAUGAAUCUGAAUAAUAAAACUUUGUGGGGAGCAACAUAUGGUGCAGCUUAGAGUAAAUUUUUAUCGAUCAUCCCACAACUGAUGUGUUAAUGGGAUGGCAGCCUUUGCUUUGGCUUUGAUAUCGAUGUGGAGUUUUAAUAAUGUCACACAGGAAUAUUG
rnacentral:lncRNA from 12 species